AGUCGAGGGGUAUAGUUCUUCGGAACUAGAGACCGGCGCACGGGUGCGUAACGCGUAUGCAAUCUACCUUUUACAGAGGGAUAGCCCAGAGAAAUUUGGAUUAAUACCUCAUAGCAUAGCAGCUUCGCAUGAAGCCACUAUUAAAGUCACAACGGUAAAAGAUGAGCAUGCGUCCCAUUAGCUAGUUGGUAAGGUAACGGCUUACCAAGGCUACGAUGGGUAGGGGUCCUGAGAGGGAGAUCCCCCACACUGGUACUGAGACACGGACCAGACUCCUACGGGAGGCAGCAGUGAGGAAUAUUGGACAAUGGGCGCAAGCCUGAUCCAGCCAUGCCGCGUGCAGGAUGACGGUCCUAUGGAUUGUAAACUGCUUUUAUACGAGAAGAAACACUACUUCGUGAAGUAGCUUGACGGUAUCGUAAGAAUAAGGAUCGGCUAACUCCGUGCCAGCAGCCGCGGUAAUACGGAGGAUCCAAGCGUUAUCCGGAAUCAUUGGGUUUAAAGGGUCCGUAGGCGGUUUAAUAAGUCAGUGGUGAAAGCCCAUCGCUCAACGGUGGAACGGCCAUUGAUACUGUUAAACUUGAAUUAUUAGGAAGUAACUAGAAUAUGUAGUGUAGCGGUGAAAUGCUUANAGAUUACAUGGAAUACCAAUUGCGAAGGCAGGUUACUACUAAUGGNUUGACGCUGAUGGACGAAAGCGUGGGUA
rnacentral:rRNA from 1 species